GGGGAGCGGCGCGGGGUGCGAGGCCGGCAGGCCGCGGUGCUGUGGGGAGAGCCUCCCCGUCUGCUUCCACAGCGUGGUCGGUGACAAUGGAGGGGUCGGGGAGGUUUCCCCUCAGAGAGCCGCACUGAAGCCGUCACGGCGCAGAAGUACCUCCGCUCGAAGAGAGAGGUUCCCUCUCAUGAUCUCCCUCCAGGCUCUCAUAUUUAUGGAGAUUCCAGCGAGCACUCCACCCUACUCCUUCUCAGUGCAAGAUGUGACACGGAGCCUUACACGGCCGUCACGUGGGCGAUUGCCGCAUCUCAGCUGUGGAGCUCUCCCCGCUGCCCCUGCCUGGCUCACAGGCGUGUGCUUCACUGGACACGCGAACGACCGGUGCGGGACAGACGUGUGUUUAUGUAGGCAGAGUCCACAAAAUCUCUCGGUAGGGCAGCGUGUGGGAAUAGCAUAGGAGGAGCGAGGUGAUUCUCGGAAAGCAAGAGGAAGUUGUGAGCAUGCUUGUGUUCUCGACAAGUAGCUGGACAGGGCUGGGCUGGAGCUCUACUGGAGUGCAGUGUGUGCGGGUUCCCUGCCUGCCGUUGGCACGCUGCUCCGUUCCUUUCCCUCUGCACUGGCGGAGUUCUGCAGACCGAAAGUAUGACCGAGUGGCCAGGAUGGGGAUUUUCUUUCUGAAUCUUAAAAACAACGGUCCUGCAUUUCGACUAAAUGUCAGAAAGGCUCUGUAUUAAGCUCUGCAUUACACAAUUGAUUCCUUAACAAUAGGACUUUCAUUGACCUUUAAAAUUGUGCAAUGUAGAGGACUCUUACGUUCAUACAGUGAAGUUUUACCUAUAGCGCUGGCUCAUGGACCUCUUACUGGCCUAAGAUACACGCUGAGGUUUGUCACGGGGUGCAUUUUCAUCCCUGUUUUGUCCUUAGAUGCUGAUUUAACACUGGGGUUAUCCCCCCCCCAACUGUUCUGGUGCCUUCCAUCUACUCCAACAUUUAAAGAAUUUCACUCACUUGCACGUGGAACGUUGCUGGGAUGUUUGAGAAAGGAGCUGAACAAAGCAGUGUUCAGAACGGUAUGGGGCAGAGCAGGGCUCACCAGGCUUUGCUGGCCGGGACAGCGAAACUGAAGUGCUGCACCACUUUCAAGGAGGAGAAUUUGGGCCAAGGAUUCAGCGACGGACAUCUGAAGAACUCAGAAAAAAACAACAACCAAGGGAUGGGGAAAACAGAACAAAGGAAGAGACCGGCUCCCUUUCACAGCCACCUCCUUCUCUUACGGCUCCUCAGCAGACACGUGAGCGAGCUCCUGCGGGGUGGGUGCCACGCGCACUGAGAGCAGAGUGCUGCAGACCCGUGCUCCGAGCAGGCGGCAGACGGACAGGAGCAGCGCUGCCUGACUCCGGGCUGACCCAGGAACCCAAGAUUUUUGGCAUAGUGGUCUUGACCUCUCCUUUCUGUCCUGUCAGCUGUUAUUUCCCAGUGCCCUUGGAUAGGCUGAAUUUGCUCUUCCUCGCGGCCUUUAUAUAGUUCCCCCCUCCCCAUACUUCUGUUAGGCUUUUAGAUCUUUGGGCGAAUCUUGGAACUGCGGAUUAAAAUCCCACAUCUCAGCUUUUAUGAAAAGAUUUGCCGAGGUCUGGGUGUUGCUGGAAGCCUGAUAUUCUGCACCAUUUACUGGCUGUGAAUUAUGUAGAUACUCAUAUUUUUAAUUUCCUUUCAUUUAGUUGUGUGUGCAGGACCUCUGUCAUGACCAGCAGGGAACUCUCCUGGGUACAAAGAGGCUAUUCAGCUCCUGUGCCAACCCUGGCUCGUAAAAGCCUGACAGCUCUCAACAAACAAAGCCUAGAAAUGUUGCUAUUAAAAGCAUUUAUUGAAUAAAUCCAUAUGUGACAAAAUGAUAGCUGCAAAAAGCGGUGGAAUUGUUUUUUAAUGGAUAAAUCUUAUUUGAAAAGUAAAGCAGAGCUGCAGAAGCUCAGAGAACAGUCACCUGAGGAUAGAGCUUUGAGCAACGUGGGAAAAAUUAGAACCACUCUGAACAAUAUAGGAGAUAAUAGUUUGCAGAACAUGUCUGCUUUGAGUGGGAGCUUUUAUGUAAAGAAAAGAGAGGAUAAGCCUGGCUUUAACUUUUGUGUUUGAACGCUCUCACAAAUAGAGGUAGGAGAGCAAAUCUUCAUUCCCUUCAGCAAACCCACAGCAGCUGGAAACAGGAGGACCCCUGUUCUGCAUAGGGUCGGUGGGCUGCAAAGGGCACCGUGGGCAGACCCCUGUCUCCCAGCCAGCUGCGUGGUGGGCUGCAAGGCCUUAUGCCUGCCUUUGCACCUUGUCUGUGUGCAGAGACACCACUGCAGUGUGCCCUGCCUGAUGCACUCUCUUCUCCUCUCCCCUUGAGAGGGAAGGAAAAGGGCUGCCUGCCCAGGAAGGGGCUCUGUAGGGUUUUCCCUAUUCCCAUGGCACAGCACCAGCCCUUUGCUCUGUGCGCAGCCCUUGCGCAUGAGGGAGGCAGGGUGCUGAGCUCAGGUGGCUGCGAUCUCCUGAGAGGGUGGAGCAGAGGAGCAGCAAUUGUGUAAGGGCUAUUAUAGCAUCUGAGGAGCAGCUCUGCUAGAAAUCCAGAAUUGCCAUGGGAGAGGAUCCUAUUUCUAUGUCUCUCUGCUUAGACCUUCUUUGCUUUGGUCUUGCUUGGGUUCUCUAGACACCAAAGAAAAGGAAAAAGAAUGCCAUUCUUUGAAGAGAGGCAUCUGGACACUAUUUAGCCUCAAACAUAAACCAAGAGCGGCUAUCUCGAUUGUUUCAUAGGUUGCUGAAAAGAAUCUGUUGUGAUGGGCUCUUGGCAGGUGACAUGUGGGGGUGGAGAGCCCUUUGCUGGGACUGGCAGAGGCAGAUGCCGUGACCUCGAGGGCCAAGAAUGCCUCUCCAGGAGUGAGGGGUCUCCAGUGAGGGCAGACUGCUCCCUGACUGCCGCUGACGUACGUGAAUGCAGGAUGGAAAUGCUCACACUAAGGCAGGAAUUUCUUGGCACUUGUAAUGUCCACAUUAGGGAAAUAUUUUACAUCACUCCAGGGAUGGUCUAACUUGUCUGGUCUCUUCAAAGAGAUUGUUGGAGAAACUAUGAGAAGAGCAUCUCAGGAUUAUAGAAGUUUACUGGGGGAUCAGAUAGAAAUGAAAGGGGGGACAGAAAAAAUGUUAUGGGACAAUUAAAACAAAUAACAUUGGAAAACAUAACAAUGGAACUGAUCCUUCAGAAAUCCUGGAUGAACAUCACAAGAAAA
ensembl:lncRNA